rnacentral:lncRNA from 1 species
GAUUAAUCAUGGUUUCUACAGCCAAGGUAAAAGCUAUAGAUUUUUUCAGGUUUGGCCUUAAGGACAAAACGUGCAAGAUUUUGAAAGGUUAAGGACACCGCCUGUAAACUUUCGGCCAAAAGGACAGCGCCUGAAAUUUGAUGUAAGCGUAAAGUACAAAACUUGUAAUUUACUCAUUGUUAUAUAUACCCUUUAAGGAUGAUUAUGAUAUUAC